rfam:TPA: Bos taurus chromosome 10, whole genome shotgun sequence.
UCCCUGGUAGCUCAGUUGGUAAAGAAUCUGCCUGCAAUGCAGGAGACCCUGGUUCGAUUCCUGGGUCGGGAA